rnacentral:rRNA from 1 species
AUUGAACGCUGGCGGCAUGCCUUACACAUGCAAGUCGAACGGCAGCACGGAGCUUGCUCUGGUGGCGAGUGGCGAACGGGUGAGUAAUAUAUCGGAACGUACCCAAGAGUGGGGGAUAACGUAGCGAAAGUUACGCUAAUACCGCAUACGAUCUAAGGAUGAAAGUGGGGGCUCGCAAGACCUCAUGCUCCUGGAGCGGCCGAUAUCUGAUUAGCUAGUUGGUGAGGUAAAGGCUCACCAAGGCAUACAUCAGUAGCUGGUCUGAGAGGACGAUCAGCCACACUGGAACUGAGACACGGUCCAGACUCCUACGGGAGGCAGCAGUGGGGAAGUUUGGACAAUGGGGGCAACCCUGAUCCAGCAAUGCCGCGUGAGUGAAGAAGGCCUUCGGGUUUUAAAGCUCUUUUGUCAGGGAAGAAACGGUGAAGGCUAAUAUCCUUUGCUAAUGGCGGUACCUGAAGAAUAAGCACCGGCUAACUACGUGCCAGCCGCCGCCGUAA